rnacentral:rRNA from 1 species
UCGUACGCUUCUUUUUCCACCGGAGCUUGCUCCACCGGAAAAAGAAGAGUGGCGAACGGGUGAGUAACACGUGGGUAACCUGCCCAUCAGAAGGGGAUAACACUUGGAAACAGGUGCUAAUACCGUAUAACAAUCGAAACCGCAUGGUUUUGAUUUGAAAGGCGCUUUCGGGUGUCGCUGAUGGAUGGACCCGCGGUGCAUUAGCUAGUUGGUGAGGUAACGGCUCACCAAGGCCACGAUGCAUAGCCGACCUGAGAGGGUGAUCGGCCACAUUGGGACUGAGACACGGCCCAAACUCCUACGGGAGGCAGCAGUAGGGAAUCUUCGGCAAUGGACGAAAGUCUGACCGAGCAACGCCGCGUGAGUGAAGAAGGUUUUCGGAUCGUAAAACUCUGUUGUUAGAGAAGAACAAGGAUGAGAGUAACUGUUCAUCCCUUGACGGUAUCUAACCAGAAAGCCACGGCUAACUACGUGCCAGCAGCCGCGGUAAUACGUAGGUGGCAAGCGUUGUCCGGAUUUAUUGGGCGUAAAGCGAGCGCAGGCGGUUUCUUAAGUCUGAUGUGAAAGCCCCCGGCUCAACCGGGGAGGGUCAUUGGAAACUGGGAGACUUGAGUGCAGAAGAGGAGAGUGGAAUUCCAUGUGUAGCGGUGAAAUGCGUAGAUAUAUGGAGGAACACCAGUGGCGAAGGCGGCUCUCUGGUCUGUAACUGACGCUGAGGCUCGAAAGCGUGGGGAGCAAACAGGAUUAGAUACCCUGGUAGUCCACGCCGUAAACGAUGAGUGCUAAGUGUUGGAGGGUUUCCGCCCUUCAGUGCUGCAGCUAACGCAUUAAGCACUCCGCCUGGGGAGUACGACCGCAAGGUUGAAACUCAAAGGAAUUGACGGGGGCCCGCACAAGCGGUGGAGCAUGUGGUUUAAUUCGAAGCAACGCGAAGAACCUUACCAGGUCUUGACAUCCUUUGACCACUCUAGAGAUAGAGCUUCCCCUUCGGGGGCAAAGUGACAGGUGGUGCAUGGUUGUCGUCAGCUCGUGUCGUGAGAUGUUGGGUUAAGUCCCGCAACGAGCGCAACCCUUAUUGUUAGUUGCCAUCAUUUAGUUGGGCACUCUAGCAAGACUGCCGGUGACAAACCGGAGGAAGGUGGGGAUGACGUCAAAUCAUCAUGCCCCUUAUGACCUGGGCUACACACGUGCUACAAUGGGAAGUACAACGAGUCGCGAAGUCGCGAGGCUAAGCUAAUCUCUUAAAGCUUCUCUCAGUUCGGAUUGUAGGCUGCAACUCGCCUACAUGAAGCCGGAAUCGCUAGUAAUCGCGGAUCAGCACGCCGCGGUGAAUACGUUCCCGGGCCUUGUACACACCGCCCGUCACACCACGAGAGUUUGUAACACCCGAAGUCGGUGAGGUAACCUUUGGAGCC